rnacentral:rRNA from 1 species
ACGAACGGCUGGCGGCAGGCCUAACACAUGCAAGUCGAGCGCACCUUCGGGUGAGCGGCGGACGGGUUAGUAACGCGUGGGAACGUACCCUUUUCUACGGAAUAGCCUUUGGAAACGAAGAGUAAUACCGUAUACGCCCUUUGGGGGAAAGAUUUAUCGGAGAAGGAUCGGCCCGCGUUAGAUUAGAUAGUUGGUGGGGUAACGGCCUACCAAGUCUACGAUCUAUAGCUGGUUUUAGAGGAUGAUCAGCAACACUGGGACUGAGACACGGCCCAGACUCCUACGGGAGGCAGCAGUGGGGAAUCUUAGACAAUGGGCGCAAGCCUGAUCUAGCCAUGCCGCGUGAGUGAUGAAGGCCUUAGGGUCGUAAAGCUCUUUCGCCUGUGAUGAUAAUGACAGUAGCAGGUAAAGAAACCCCGGCUAACUCCGUGCCAGCAGCCGCGGUAAUACGGAGGGGGUUAGCGUUGUUCGGAAUUACUGGGCGUAAAGCGCACGUAGGCGGAUUGGAAAGUUGGGGGUGAAAUCCCGGGGCUCAACCCCGGAACUGCCUCCAAAACUAUCAGUCUAGAGUUCGAGAGAGGUGAGUGGAAUUCCAAGUGUAGAGGUGAAAUUCGUAGAUAUUUGGAGGAACACCAGUGGCGAAGGCGGCUCACUGGCUCGAUACUGACGCUGA